UUUAUACUCCCUCCGUCAGGAAAUACUUGUCCUCGAAAUGGAUAAAAUACCAUUUCGAGGACAAGUAUUUCCGGACGGAGGGAGUACUAU
rfam:Triticum aestivum genome assembly, contig: Triticum_aestivum_CS42_TGACv1_scaffold_226205_3B